rnacentral:rRNA from 1 species
GAUGAACGCUACCUACAGGCUUAACACAUGCAAGUCGAGGGGAAACGGCAUUUAGUGCUUGCACCGAAUGGACGUCGACCGGCGCACGGGUGAGUAACGCGUAUCCAACCUACCCAUUACUGUGGGAUAACCUGCCGAAAGGCAGACUAAUACCGCAUAGUCUUCGAUGACGGCAUCAGAUUUGAAGUAAAGAUUUAUCG